AGAGAGCUAGAGUGGCUGUUGCAGUGAGGGCAUCAGGGGAACCCAUCCUGCUCGACCCCCCACUCUUGGCGGCUAUCUGUAGAGGAGUAGAGAUCGAGGAUGGCUCCCAGUUCGUCGAGGAGACGCCCGACACAUAGGGUUAGCGAGGAGGAGGCUUCCUUCCAUGACGAUGCGCAGAGGAGAAGACAAGAGGAUAUGUGCUGCUAGAUCUGACAUGGAGGUGCUAUUCAAUCCAUCAGUUGCUAGCGGCCUGCUGUGAUUAAGGAGGCCGUGUUAUUUUGGUGUGCGAGAGAGAUCUUGCAGGCUGGCAGAUGCUUUGAACAUGAGCACGUGGGCAAUUUUGGA